rnacentral:rRNA from 1 species
UACGGGGGGUGCGAGCGUUGUCCGGAAUCACUGGGCGUAAAGGGCGCGUAGGUGGCCUGUGGAAGUCUGCGGUGAAAGCCCGGCGCUCAACGCCGGGUCGGCCGUGGAUACUCUCGGGCUUGAGCUUACUAGAGGCAGAUGGAAUUCCUGGUGUAGCGGUGGAAUGCGCAGAUAUCAGGAGGAACACCGGUGGCGAAGGCGGGUCUCUGGGCAGUAACUGACGCUGAGGAGCGAAAAGCGUGGGGAGCGAACAGG